GUGUGCGCGCGCCGAGCAAAGAUGGAGAGGAGGUCCCAGCCCCCGGGGCGCGGUGUUGCGCACGCGGGGGAGCUGGGCCGGGGAUAUGCGCACGUGUGCGCACGCGGCGGACAGGGACUAGGGGUGCACGUGCGUAUAUAAGCACCUGGGGAGGGGGACAGAAGCUGAGGAGGUGUGCACCUGUGCAUGUACACGGGUGUGUGCGCAUCCGGGGAAUGGGGGGUAGGAGUGUGUAUACACGUGUGGGCACAUGAGGAACAGGGGCAAAGUGUGCAGGUGAGUGUGUAUGCACAGGAGGUCUGGAGCCAGUGUGCAAGUGUGUGUAUGUGCGCGCGCGCGUACCCAGGGGCUAGAGAUGCAUUCAUGGGUGUGCACACGGAGAAUGGGUUGAGUGUGUGCGUAUGCACGUACAGAAGUGCGCACAUGGGGGGGCGAGUGUGUGCACAGUGUGUAUACGUAUUCGAGAAUAAGAGAGGUUGGGUGCCCAUGGGCGUGUAGGGGCGGGUGCAUGUGUAGGUGCGCAAGGAGAGGAGGCCAGGCGUGUGCGUGUGUAGUUGCACCGAGGCGAGGGCCGUGUGCACCCACAGUGCGGAGAGCCCUGUCCACCUGCUGCUCCUGUUCUGAGCUGCCAGAGGCCUCCGUGCCCACGCCUCCAGCCAAGCCAGCCUCAGAGCAUUCUCAGUGCAGGAGAGUUGGCUCCUCAUCACUGGGUGGGCUGGACCUAGUGGACGCUGAGCCUCGGAGACUCGUCCCCUCUGGGCGCCCCCGCAAGCGCCAAGGCCCGAGAGGGCAUGGGCUCUGGUUCCAGAGACGCUGCGGAGGUCGGGAGGGGCCUGGGAGUCAAGUCCGAAGUUCAUGAGCACAGAGCAAAGGCCUCUCAUCUUGCAGGUUUCCACCUGGCCGCGGACGGUUUCCCAAUUUAACCGCUUUUAUGCUGAUCACGCCCACUCUGCUUCUCCAGUAAAGCCCCUCCCGGCCUAAGACUGUUCACACCUUAGCGCUGGUUUCUUGAAGGGAGCAGAGAUCUUCGCGUUCUUUCUCUUCAGUACGCGGCACUCAGAGAAACCGGGAUCCAGGAGGAAGAGGGUAAAUAAGAGGCUUCAGAGGACGGACCUACCUGCCCUGCCCGCAGGCGCAACACCUUGCUUCCCGGUGGUACAGUGUGCACAGCGUCCCACUGGGCAGCAGGGUCCCCAGUGCCAGAUCCUGCGGUCCCCCGUCCUGUUCCUCAAGUGCUGAUGUGUUCCCAACCUCACAGCUCUUUCACAGAUACCCUUUGUUUUUACUGAAUGUGAAUAUUCACCCCGCGGAUGGCAGGCGGAAGGGGCGCCCAGCCCUCAGGCCUAAAUGCUCAGGGCAGUGAGCCUCUGGGUGAGGGCAGGGGGUCAGAGUUAGGAAGAAACGGGAAGUAAGGACCAAUCGUAGACGUCUCUCUACAGACACAAGAUUCCAGUAAUUCAACAGUAUUUACACAGGAUAAGUCCUUCUCAUAUUCAAAAUAAUGCCUGCACAAAAACCACUACUGAAACAUUCUGCACUCCCAGGAGUUACUGCACCAUUGCAAGUGUCCAGCCUCCCCUCCGGGCGGGUUCAGGAAGCAUGGCUUUUAGUGGUGCUUCCACUGGGCGUAGACUUGCUCCUCCCACAGGCUGCACGGUCCCUGGGCCGUCCAGGAUACCACAGGAAAAUGGUUCUGUUCCGUGUUUUAUUAGAAAGAAGUGACCGGUCCUUCCCAGGAAAACACCUCCUCUCUCAAAACCCCAUUUUUUUAUGUGCCUGCUCUGUGAGUCUCACAGUGUGAUGCAAAGCCUCAUCUGCCCCCAUUAAACUCACCUUUAAAGAGAGAACGUUUUCCUUACUUUUUUUUUUUUUUUUUUUUUUUUAAUGGUCACACCUGCAGCACAUGGAAGUUCCUGGGCAAGGCGUCGAAUCUGAGCUGCAGCUGCUGGCCUACACCACAGGCAACGCCGGAUCCUUAACCCAGUGAGCAAGGAGAGGAAUCGAACCCAUAUCCAGCCAUUUUCUGUUUUCCACCGCAGCGAUGAUGACAAGAGGUGGGGAGGCAGGGAGGGGAGAGGUUUGUGGGACUUAGAGGGGGUUCUGCAUGUGGGGAAGUGACAUUUUCUCAUCCUUUGGACAAAUAUCAAUAAAAGCAUUUUUGUUCCUUUUUUUUCAGGGCCCCACCUGCAGCAUAUGGAAGUUCCAGGCUAAGGGUCAAAUUGGAGGUGGAGCUGCAGCUGCUGGCCUACACCACAGCCACAGCAAUGCGGGAUCUGAGCCGGGUCUGUGACCUACACCACAGCUCAUGGCAACACCGGGUCCUUAACCCACUGAGCGAGGCCAGGGAUUGAACCGGCGUCCUCGUGGACACUAGUCGGGUUCGUUACCACUGAGCCAUGAUGGGAACUCCAAUAAAGGCAUCUUCAGCAAGAUUUUUUGGCUUAUUCGUGUGUGUGAUAAAACAUAAGGAAAUCGGCUCCUUGUCCAAACCUUGGGACGAGCCCCCGCUCCUCUGGCCAAAGAGGCCGCCCUCCUGAGCCACAUUCGCACCCCAAACUCACGAAGACCUCGUGUGUUUCUCUCUCGCACGUCCUUACGUCAUCACUCCUGGUUGGGAACAUUUCUGGCCAAAGCAAAGUCCCCUCUUGGAAGGAGGGUGAAUCCUUGAACUUCCCGCAGCAUAAUGCUCUUAUCUUGGUAUUAAUCAAUCUUUUUUUCUUUCUUUUUUUUUUUUUUUUUGGCAACAUGGGCAGGAUGCAGAAAUUGCCAGGCAGGGGAUUGAACCCACACCACAGCCGCAACCCGAGCCACUGCGGUGACAACACAAAUCCUUAAGCUGCUGAGCCACAGGACUCCAGGAUCAGUCAAUCUUAAGGACUCACAUGACUACUUACAGGCUGAAGCCACAGUCCUUUGAGAAGCUCCCCUUGGACCCGACAGCUUCUAGAAGAUCACGGCACCCAGUCUCCCCAGAUGUCUCCUUCCGGCCUCGUUUGCUACUUGAGCGCCCGUCUCUGCUCUUCCUCCGAAACGCCCACCUUGGCCAGGAGAGUAAUUCCUUUCAUCCCCUGACCACCAACCCUGCCGUCCAGCGCGGUGUCCUUCUGGGUGAUUUCAUGUUGCUGAGAUGACAUCGGGCUGUUUUUUAUGGAACCCCACAACGGAAGGUCCGAGGUCCUUCUCCUCGUGUCAUUUCCCUCCUCAGUAGAACCCAUGACCAUCGGCCAGGAGGGAAAGUGCCAGGAGCCAACAGCACGAUUUUGGGAAACUUGAUUUUAUGUUCAACCGAAUGCCUCUGCUCACGUCCCUACUGCUGUCCCCUUACCUCGCCGAGUCAGAGAAGGGCCCUGCAGCUUACCCGCUGCAAUGAGGCUGGGGUGACCUCGGGAGGUCAAUGAGCUCGGAUGAGUGAUCUCAGCUCCUCUCUGGCUCAGAUUUCUUUAGCUGAGAAAUAAGAAAAUAAAAAAUAAAGUUCUUUAUAAGAC
ensembl:lncRNA